CUGGCUCAGAACGAACGCUGGUAGCGUGGAUUAGGCAUGCAAGUCGAACGGGAUCCGGAAGGCAGCAAUGUCGGCCGGUGAGAGUGGCGGAAGGGCGAGGAACACGUGGGCAACCUGUCUUGAAGGUGGGGAAAACCUCGGGAAACUGAGGCUAAUACCGAAUGUGGCGCGGGAGGGCAUCCUUCCAGCGCCAAAGGGGGCGAAAGCUCCCCCUCUUUGAGGGGCUCGCGCACCAUCAGCUUGUUGGCGGGUAACGCCACCAAGGCUUACGGUUAGCUGGUCUGAGAGGAUGGCCAGCCGCACUGGGACUGAGAUACUGCCCAGACUCCUACGGGAGGCUGCAGUCGAGGAUCAUUCGCAAUGGGCGAAAGCCUGACGAUGCGACGCUGCCGUGGAGGAUGAAGGCCCUCGGGUCGUAAACUCCUGUCAUGAGGGAAAAGGAGACCUUACCUAAUACGUAGGGAAUUUGAUGGUACCUCAAGAGGAAGGGACGGCUAACUCUGUGCCAGCCGCCGC
rnacentral:rRNA from 1 species